GUCCCUCGGCUCCUAGCUGCCACACGCCCAAGCCGAAGCCGGGGCUGCCGUUUGGAAAGAAUUUCACAACUGACCCCUGCUUAGUCGUCGACUGUGGCCCGGAGGGCACGUGCGUCAAGCAAGACAGCUCCCCUUACUUCCACUGCCAGUGCAACCCGGGCACACCCAACGCGCGCAACGACCCUUCCUUCUUUUGCACCAACUGUGCCGUCGGCGACAACGGAUGCGCGGUUCCGCCGCCUCCAUCGGCUCCGUCAACGGGCUCCCCGCCGCCUCCGUCAAUGGCCC